rnacentral:rRNA from 1 species
GCCUGAUGCAGCCAUGCCGCGUGUGUGAAGAAGGCCUUCGGGUUGUAAAGCACUUUCAGUCGUGAGGAAGGUAGUGUAGUUAAUAGCUGCAUUAUUUGACGUUAGCGACAGAAGAAGCACCGGCUAACUCCGUGCCAGCAGCCGCGGUAAUACGGAGGGUGCGAGCGUUAAUCGGAAUUACUGGGCGUAAAGCGCAUGCAGGUGGUUUGUUAAGUCAGAUGUGAAAGCCCGGGGCUCAACCUCGGAAUUGCAUUUGAAACUGGCAGACUAGAGUACUGUAGAGGGGGGUAGAAUUUCAGGUGUAGCGGUGAAAUGCGUAGAGAUCUGAAGGAAUACCGGUGGCGAAGGCGGCCCCCUGGACAGAUACUGACACUCAGAUGCGAAAGCGUGGGGAGCAAACAGGAUUAGAUACCCUGGUAGUCCACGCCGUAAACGAUGUCUACUUGGAGGUUGUGGCCUUGAGCCGUGGCUUU